GACGGAGGGUGCAAGCGUUGUUCGGAUUGACUGGGCGUAAAGGGCGUGUAGGCGGUUGCCCAAGUCCGAUGUGAAAGCCCGAGGCUUAGCCUCGGAAGUGCAUCGGAAACUAGGCAGCUGGAGCGCGAUAGAGGAGGGUAGAAUUCCUGGUGUAGCGGGUGAAAUGCGUAGAUAUCAGGAGGAAUACCGGCGGCGAAGGCGGCCCUCUGGAUCGUUGCCGACGUGAGACGCGAAAGCGUGGGGAGCAAACAGG
rnacentral:rRNA from 1 species